rnacentral:rRNA from 1 species
UACGGAGGGUGCAAGCGUUAUCCGGAUUCACUGGGUUUAAAGGGUGCGUAGGUGGGCUAGUAAGUCCGUGGUGAAAUCUCCAAGCUUAACUUGGAAACUGCCGUGGAUACUAUUAGUCUUGAAUACUGUGGAGGUCAGCGGAAUAUGUCAUGUAGCGGUGAAAUGCUUAGAUAUGACAUAGAACACCAAUUGCGAAGGCAGCUGGCUACACAAAUAUUGACACUGAGGCACGAAAGCGUGGGGAUCAAACAGG